GAUUAGGGAGGUGGGGACGAGAUGGGCUAGUUUUGGGAUGCAGUGGUGGGAGUGGAGAUUUUGAAGCUUGUGAAAUCCACAUUGAUAGCAUUGGGCUGCAGAGUUCCCAAGGCUCAGUUAAGGAAGGACAACAAACAUUGAUCAGUCAGUCAUACAUCCAGCAAGAAAACUUUAUUUUUUUAAAAAAAUAGGAUGCAUCUGUUAAUCAAGUGGCAAAGCAUUAUCGAGUUUUGAGAAGAUUUGUAGCUCAGGGUUCAGGUUCUGGAUGUAAGAUUGCUCAAUGAGCUGGAAGGUUAGUUUUCAGAUGAUUCGUCACCAUUCCAGGUAAAAUCAUCAGUGAGCCUCCGGUGAAGCGCUGGAGUUCGGUCCCGCUUUCUCUUCAAGUGUUUCGGUUUCCUUGGGUUGGUGAUGUCAUUUCCUGUUCUUUCUCUCAGAGGAUGGGAGAUGGAUUUGGAGCCAAUGUGUCCUCCCUGGUGUAGUUUGUGUAUGGAAUGAACUGCCAGAGGCUAUUAUACUCACAGUAUUUAAAAGUCACCUGCAUGGACACAUGAAUAGGAAGGGUCUGGAGGGAUAUGGGCAACAUGCUGGCAAAUGGAACUAGUCAGUUACGAUAUCUGGUCGGCCUGAAGGGUUUGUUUCCCUGCUGUACAACUCUGCGACUCUGUCUCUUUGUCUCCCCCUCCCCCUCUCUCAUUUGCUCCAGACCCACCCCCCACCACACACACAAUCUCUGUCUCUCCAUCUCUGUGUGUGUGCGCCUCACUCUCUGUCUGUCUGUGUCUCUCUCUCUCUCUCGCUGUGCACUUCUCUGUCUCUCUCCUUCUCUUUCACUGUCUCUUUGGUCUUUGUGUGUGUGUGCCCCUCUCUGUCUCUGCCUCCCUCUGUAUGUGCUUCUGCCUUUCUCUCUCUCCGUCGACCCCCCACCCACUCUGCGCCGCCCCUCCCCCCGCCUUUUCCUCCAUCUCUCUUACUCUCUAGCCGAGCCUCUCCACCCGCUCAGCAGGGAGCGUUGUGAGUUUCUUUCGAACAAAGUUUAAAGAUCUCUGUUUGAACCCAACCCAUCCGCAAUCAGACUGCAUUUCUAAUCCCCCCCCCCCCCCUCUCUCUCUCUCUCUCUCUCUCUCUCUCUCUCUCACACACACACACACACACACACACACACACACACACUGUCUCUUUCUCCCUUUCAGUCAAUCCCCUUCCUCUCCUGGUCCUACUCACGCCUUUUCCCACCCCCCGACUCUGCCUCGGCGAUGAGUCCGCUGUCUGGAUCCCUUUACCCAGGAGUGGGCUGAGGACCCAGCGGUUCGGCAGCGGGGAUCAUCGCACCACGCUCCUGGACCCCUACAACCUCCUGUUCUCCAGCGGCCUCCAGCAUGACCACCGGGCUAGGAGCAGGCAUCCGGGCUGCCGGAGCGCUCGCUGCUCAGUGGCUCAGCCCUGCGCCGCCUUUGCCGGGAGCGGGGAUCCGAGGUGGGAGAAGGCCUCUUCGCCCGGCUCCUGGGCACAGCUACCUGCCUGAACAGCUGCCUGGCACCGAGCCUGCGCUCCCCGACCACCCGGCCGCGGGUCCGCGACGCCUUCCGGGGCUGAGUAGCCGAAAACUAUCUCCUACUGCAAGUCUUUUCCAGUCCCAUGCUGAGUAUUGUUAUCCCAAUAGUUCUUUAAUGUCAGUGUGUGUGUAUUCCUGGGCGACUAUGCUCGUGUGGUCUACGGAGUUGUGGAGGUCACAGUUCUAGGACAGCCAUUUCAUAGGCCUCUGCUGCAGAAUCUACCCCGGAAGAGAGAGCCCAGAGAAUUGCCAAAGCUGUCUGCAAGCAGUCAAUUGACGUGAAGGAAAAUUGGGAGCAAUUGAAAACCCAUGCGAGCAACUGGCAGAACAAGGUGCAAAAGGCGUUAGAGAAACUUCAAGAACUGCAGAAAGCUCUGGAUGAUCUUGAGUCUCAUGUGAUAACAGCUGAGGGGGUCCACAUUGAUUGGCAACCUGUGAAUGACCUGUUUAUUGACGCAUUGCAGGAUCACAUGGAUAAAACCACAGUUAAGGACUGCCUGCAAAAUCUGAGAUUGGGUUUUGAAACACAUCAACCUUUGCUUGCGAGAGAUAAUGGUAACUGCAGAUGCUAGAGAAUGCGAGAUAACAAUGUGUGGAGCUGGAUGAACACAGCAGGCCAAGCAGCAUCUCAGGAGCACAAAAGUUGACAUUUCGGGCCUCGACCCUUCAUGCGAGAGAACGUAACGUUUUUAAAGAAGAAAUUGCCCCAGUCAAACAAGAAGUCAAAAUAUUAAAUGAUCUGGGAUGUCAGUUAUCUCCGCUUGAUGUCUCUUUCUCUCCAAAGAUUUCUCACCAGCUUGAUGACCUAAAUAUGAGGUUGAAAUUUAUACAGCAGCAGGAGGUGAGGAGGCAGAGACUGCAACCCUGAGGUCACGGAGGGAAGGAAAAGAGGCUCUUACUUGGAGAUUGAGAAGCAGGAGAGGGCACAACCCAGAGGUUUGGGAGUGGAGAGAGGCUGCAAGUUGGAGGUCAAGGUGAUUUAAACACCGUGCGUUUUUCUGCAUAUCGGCCAGCAAUGAAGAUCCGCCGACUCCAGAAAGCACUCUGUUACCACAUCAGGUGAAGAUGUGUGUGAUUUCACCAAGGUGCUGAAAAAUAACUUCAGAUCAAAGAAAUACUUUGCCAAACAUCCUCGCUUGGGUUAUUUACCACUACAAACAGUCCUAGAAGACAACAUCAGGUGAAGAUGUGCGUGAUUUCACCAAGGUGCUGAAAAAUAACUUCAGAUCAAAGAAAUACUUUGCCAAACAUCCUCGCUUGGGUUAUUUACCACUACAAACAGUCCUAGAAGACAACAUCAGGUGAAGAUGUGCGUGAUUUCACCAAGGUGCUGAAAAAUAACUUCAGAUCAAAGAAAUACUUUGCCAAACAUCCUCGCUUGGGUUAUUUACCACUACAAACAGUCCUAGAAGACGAGGAAAUAUUAGUGAUGCAAUGAAGAGUUUGAUGAUAAAAUAUAAUUACUGUUACGGUUUCCUCUUGGACGAAAUAUUCUCAUCAAAUUGACUGGUCAAGGAAAUGGGACACUGACUGUGAGUACUUUGAGUGUUUAAGUGAUUCCUAAAAUGAAAAUUAUGACCUUGAUUUCUCUUGCAUGCAGAUAUGAAGAGACUAUUUUAAAAAUCCUCUCGGUUCGUGGUUCAGGCAUAAAGGUGUCACAUGUAUAUUUAUGUAUAUACAUGUACAUGUGUAAUCUGAAAAGAAAAUGACGAUAAAUCACUUGUUACAAGUUCCUCAAGCUUUAGCAUAAACUGGUGGAGACUUUCGGCGCUUGCAAAAAGGCUCACCUCUCUGUUAAUACUGAAGGAAAAUUGGAGUUUAAAAGUAAGUUCACCCGGUGUCAGGGAAUGAAAUGUUAAUGUUGACUUGAAUAUAAUUUUUAAAAAAGUAAUAUAUUUGUGUAGCACUAAACUCAAAUUAAAAUUUGGAUAUGCCAGUUGACUCCUGUUUGACACUGGAUGGAAUGGCGGUGACAUCAGAUUCAGUGAUGAUUGAGAAUCUAAAGAAUAUGAGGAUAAGAUUUAAAAUCCAAAUAUCAUUGAACUCUUCAAGAAAUGUAUUACUGGAAAAGGGGGAAAGCAUGUAUGUCUAUUAGAAUUGAAUACACUCUGAAGGCGGUGGCACAGAUGAAACAGACCUGUGUGCUAAAACUUAUCACAAAUUUCACAUUGAAUGGAACAGUUUAAACAGGCUGGAGGAAGCAGACAUGCCAGCGCAAACUUUUGAAUUUGUGCAUUCUGUUCAUAAACAUCAGCAAAAUUGUGGGAACCUGUUUAUUCUUUCUCUUUUAUUGCACAGAACCAUACGAUUACACUAAUUUUGAUGAGGAAUUUAAAGAUUAUGAGCCCCGUCCGUUUGACCCGCAGUUUGGCACCAUAGGUUGGCACGAUCUUCGUUCGAGAAGGAAGAGGGAUGUUCCAGACACAGAAAAUCGUCAAACCAUUUACUACAAAGUCUGUUUCUGCUUAGUAUUAAUUAAUGCAGUUAACAUUUUCAGAUCGACAUGAUUGCAGAAUGGAGUCAAUAAAACAAAUUCCAUCUGAUAUUCAACAUAAAUUUUAAGUUUAGAAUAACAAGCUCACAAGAGCUUGGUUUUAGAUAUCACUUGGGACCACAGACUAACAGACAAAGGAACAAAGCAAAACGACUCUGCGAUUUGAUGUAGAAACUCCUGACUCCGAAGCCUGCAGCCGCCCUCCAAUUCUCAAGUCAGAAGUGUGCCAAUGAUGGUGCAGAUCCAACAACACUGGAAACGAUCUUGAGUCUAGACCAAAGCAGCCCCUUGAUUGGCACCGUAUCCAUUCUCUCCACAACCAACUCCAAGACACAAUAAUGUGUCCAUAUACAAGAUGCACUGCCACAUUUUUUUCCAACUAUUCUUACACCCGCCUUUCCAGACUUAGAAAACUCAUCUUCAAGGUCAAGGACAUCAGACAUGGUAGCACUAAUCCCAGUAAAAAUCACCUCCAAGCUACUCUCAAACUUAUUUGGAAAUGAAUGAUUGUUCCUGAGUCAAUAUUAGUAAUCUCUUUUGGAACAGCAUUGUGGGUCUGUGUACAGCAACAUGAAGCUGUUCAAGAAGUCAAUUUGUGCUGGACAAUCAGCAACAGCUAUGUCUCAUUAAAGAAUAAAUAAAUCGGAAAGAAAUCCAUCUGAGAGUCACAAGCAAAUGGGUAACUUUUUUUUGUUCACUCUGCAGCUCGUGGGCUAUUACCAAUUUUGACAAUGACAAAUGAAGCUUUUGUUUGGUUUGCUAUUGAUAGCAGCUGUCCACAAAAUAAAAACAAUUGGCAUCAGAGAUAAUGGGAACUGCAGAUGCUGGAGAAUCCAAGAUUACAAAGUGUGGAGCUGGAUGAACACAGCAGGCCAAGCAGUAUCUCAGGAGCACAAAAGCUGACGUUUCGGGCCUCGACCCUUCAUCAGAAAAGAGGGAGGAGGAGAGGGCUCUGAAAGAAAUAGGGAGAGGGGAAGGCAGAUUGAAGAUGGAUAGAGGGGAAGAUAGGUGCAGAGGAGACAGACAAGCAAUAAGGAAGGAGAGGAUCAAAUAUCAAGGUAGGCUAGCUAGUCAUAUCAGAAAUCAUAGUAACGGCUUCUUUCAAUACAUAAGAAACAAACGUGAGGCAAAAGUAGACACUGGGCCACUCCAAAUUGAUGCUGGAAGGCAAGUGGUGGGAGAUAAGGAAGUAGCUGAAGAACUUAAUAAGUACUUUGCGUCAGUCUUCACAGUGGAAGACAUGAGUAAUAUGCCAACAAUUAGGGAGAGCCAGGGGGCAGAGCUGAGGAUGGUAGGAAUUACAAAAGAGCAAGUGCUAAAAGAGCUAAAAGGUCUAAAAAUUGAUAAAUCUCCUGGCCCCAAUAGGCUAUAUCCUAGAGUUCUGAACAAGGUGGCUGAGGAAAUAGCAGAGGCUUUGGCUAUGAUCUUUCAAAAGUCAGUGUAGUUUUUUUUUGAGUGCGAGCAGCAGCGGAGGCAAGACGGACCCGGAAGACUGCAGCUAAGGUAAAGCAGUUUAUUUUGAAAAUUACUUACCGAUAGCGGGCAGCGGUGUUUUUCCUCUUUCAGAGAAGGAGCGGGAGCAGCAGAGGAAGUGACGAGGACCAGAGGGGCAGCCGGGAAGGAAAGCAGUGAGUAUAAAUACUCACCCUUCGACGCCAACGGCCAUUAUGAGUGCGAGCAGCAGCAGAGGCAAGAUGGACCCGGAAGACUGCAGCUAAGAUGCGGAUAAAGUUCUCCAAGCUGACAGAAAUUGAAAGCACUCGCAUCCUGUGACGAUGGGGUAGGAGUGGAAGAAUCAGAGUGUUUCUUUGAAAAUUGGCUUGAUGUGUCUGUCCAAGGGUCAUCUGGAGGAAAAAAUACAAGUGCACUCAGACAUGAACUAAUGGAUAAGGAGGAGACAAUCAUAACUGCUUUGGAUUCAGCCCAUAGAAGGGCCAGAGGAGCCGCGCUGACACCUUCAUGUUUAAACAGAGGACACUUUUCUGCGUGCCACGAGAUGUAUAUCAGCCAUACCAAAAUGCUGCCUUUGCCUGAGACAGGGAAGAUCAACUGACUUUGGGGAAAUGGAGAAUCAUUCAUGAAUCCAGUUACUUUCUGAUCUGACAGCUUUGUGGCAUCUGAAUGGAUAACAAUUUGAUCUGAUGUUGCCAGACCCGGUGAGCUAUUCCAGCAACUUUGUUUUAGUUCCUGAUGAGCUGCGACUUUGUACUUGACUGAUUUCCAACAUCAAAAGUUCUAAAGGUUGGAAGAGAUUGGUUUACCUUGACUUCCUAGCUUGAAAAUGUGCCUUUUAUGCAAAGAAACUGUACUCUGGGACAGUGGUUUUUCAGAUUUACCUGCAGGUCCAGCUGUGAAUCGGAGUUGAAGUAGUUGCAAGCACUGAUGAAUAGGCAGCUAUUUAGCCUCUGGAUGGAAUCCUGUGGAAGCGACGAGGGUCUAGGUCAUUGACUCGAGAACUGAUGAGGGAACGGCUUGCCCCAACCAGCUUCCCUUCAGGGGAACGCCAGCCUCAGGUCGCUCCCCUCAAGGGGUAUGUCAUCCUGACCUUGCUCCUCUCAUGCGUAGGCAGCUACAUCUUUCUCCCCUCUGGCACAUAAUAGACCGGUGGAAAACCUGGUGGGAUGUCACUUUCCAUGAGCGGUUGGCUAACCAGAACCCAGCAUGUGUACUAAGCAGCAGUGUCACUUGGGAGGUGAUGAUCUCUGUUACCAUUGGCAACCAACCUACGAUUAUUGCUCGAUCUCGGACCAGGAUUGAGUGAAACACCAUUAGCACGCCACUUCCCCUUCUUGAUGUUGCACAUUGAAUGCCUUUGAAAGCCUGUUACAUUUCUUAAUGGUGACUCCCCUGCCCACUGUUGACUCAAUACCAGUUGUUGUGGGAUGAUGUAUGUGUACGUCAGUUGCUCAAUUGGGGACUUUAACUCGCAAUGAAGUUGGGAAGUUAUGCACAAGUCUUCUCACCAUGGGUUUAAUCUGGCUCUAAGCAGAAUUGUAGGUGGUGCCAUCCUUCCACCUGAUUAAAUGUCCUCUAUUUUCAAACUUGCCACAAGGGAAAGUACAAAAUCCCGCUGUUUUUGUUAUCAAUUCAUGGUUUUUAAUUUUGCAAUCAGUGUCGUAAGCAGCAGAUUAGUUCAGUCCUUGUGAAAUUGAAGGCAAUGCAACACUUUAAUUGGUCACUUUUUAACAUGGCAGGUUCUCAGACUGAGGAAAUGGUGAAUGUUGUUGAUCUUUAAUGCAAUAUAAUGGAGGAGAGAAAAAUCUGGACUAUAGAGCCCACAGGAAGAAAAUUAUAAUCUGUCAGUGCUGCCUCCAUUAGAACAAUGCCAAGUAAAUACCCGUCCCCAUAUCGAACAAUAGAAGUUUCCUGCAUAUCAGAACAUACCCAUUGAGUGGGGAACUGAUGAAUAAUGCAGGAGCACCAUCGGAUUGAAAUACUUUUAUUCUAAGAAUUUCAGAACAUGCUGGGAUUUUUAUAGCAAGCAAUACUUGUGAUGGAAUAUUCUUUUAAUGUCAAAAUGCUGCAACAGUUUGGAAGAACCAAUAUUAAAUGGAUAUUAUUGCAGAUAAUAUAUGUGAAUUAAAUAAAAUUGUUUGCUUAAAGUAUUUUGUAAUUCGAAUUGAAUGUCGCAUUUUUGUAUCUUAGUUGUCUUCUGUUUCUAAUUUUUCUUAUUUUUAUAGAGCAGGUAUUGUCCUGGUCACUUGUAAUGCUGCCAAUUCAAGAUUAACUACAUGGAUGGUCUCUAUCAGUUGCUUAAUCCCCGAUGUCAGUUUGCAAUCCUGAAUCCAAGAUUGUCACUUCAUCUUUCAAUUCUGUGUAUAAUCAAAGUCUGAGAUCAACAGCUUUCAUUUUACUAUCUGGAAGUCAAUCAGUGCAGAUUUUGUUUGUAAACAAGCGUUCUGUAUGUAAAACUGCUUCGUUUAAUUAGAUUAGUUAGUUAAGAUUCAUUUUAAUGAAAUGAAUCAUAACUAAGCUUCAUCUCUUCCUCAUUCUGAUUCUGAACACAUGGUAUGUCACGCAAUGGCAAUUCAAUUUUGCAUUGGUGCCGGUUCAAACCAUGUGUUUUCCAACUACAGAUUGAUACAGAUGAAAUUGUACCAUUUCCUUUUUAGUACCAUUCUCACCAUACAGUGUUUCUGUUCAUUACGUUUCUGUGCACAGUUCUGAACCAGUCCCCUUGCCCCUGAGCUUGCCAAAUGUCUCAAUGUUGUCAUGACAUUGUCAAAGAAUUCAUUCCUUGGUAGAUUCAGAGAUAAAUUAAUGUAACCUAGUAUGUGUUAAUGCCUCUGCUGUAAUCGGGCGAAACACUCAGGCCAUUGUCUUAAUUUUUCUCUCUUGUAUUUAUAUUGAAAUGUUGACCAUGCCAUUUGCUCCACUUACUGGGAUUGGACUUGUUACAGAAGUGCUGAACGUCAACUUGCCAAAUACAAUUGGAUGAAAAGUAUGAGGCCAAUCAGUCUCUUGAAACACUUUCUCUAUGCAAUCAACAUAACAACAUUCAUUGACAAUGAAAAAUUACGUACGUGCUUCAGAAGAUUAGAUUUGAAACAGAGAUUUGUGAAUAUGAAUGGAGCUAUAUAUGUCCCCAUCUCAGGCACCAACCUCAAGUUCACCUGGACUAUCUACAACACCUCUGUCACCUUCCUGGACCUCUCUGUCUCCAUCUCAGAACCUAACCCGGAAGAGAGAGCCCAGAGAAUUGCCAAAGCUGUCCUCAAACAGUCAACAGAAGUGAAGGAAAAUUGGGAGCAAUUGAAAAUCCAUGCAAGCAACUGGCAGAAACAGGUGGAAAAGGCAUUGGAGAAACUUCAAGAACUGCAGAAAGCUCUGGAUGAUCUUGAGGCUCGUGAUAACAGCUGAGGGGGUCCACACUGAUUGGCAACCUGUGGGUGACCUGCUUAUUGACUCAUUGCAGGAUCACAUUGAUAAAACCAAAAUAAGUGCAAUUACAUUGCACUUCACUUAUGAACAGAUGUAACUGCAAUGUUGUAUCGAGACGAUCAGUAAUAUGAGUACUUAAGUAAUAUUGAUUGAAUGGUUGUUAACUUAAUUUGAAAAUUAAAACUUAGUUGAGCAUG